UUUUAGUUUUCGCACUCUAACUUUAGUAAAAGUGAAUAGAAAUCUAUGAAAUUUUAACACAAGGUUUAUGACCAUAAAAGGAAGACUGGUAUUGAUUUUGGGAGUUUUGGUCCCAACAUUUUAGGAAUUAGGGGCCAAAAAGGGCCCAAAUAAGCAUUUUCUUGGUUUUCGCACUAUAACUUUAGUUUAAGUUAAUAGAAAUCUAUGAAAUUUUGACACAAGGUUUAUGACCACAAAAGAAAGGUUGGGAUUGAUUGUGGGAGUUUUGGUUUCAACAGUUUAGGAAUUAGGGGCCGAAAAAGGGCCCAAAUAAGCAUUAUUCUUGGUUUUCGCACAAUAACUUUAGUUAAAGUAAAUAGAAAUCAAUGAAAUUUAAACACAAUGUUUAUGACCACAAAAGGAAGGUUGGUAUUUAUUUUGGGAGUUUCGGUCCCAACAGUUUAGGAAUUAGGGGCCAAAAAGGGACCCAAAUAAGCAUUUUUCUUGGUUUUCGCACCAUAGUGUUAGUAUAAGUAAAUAGAAAUCUAUGAAAUUUAAACACAAGGUUAAUGACUAUAAAAGGAAGGUUGGUAUUGAUUUUGGGAGUUUUGGUCCCAACAGUUAAGGAAAAAGGGGCCCAAAGGGUCCAAAAUUAAACUUUGUUUGAUUUCAUCAAAAUUGAAUAAUUGGGGUUCUUUAAUAUGCCGAAUCUAACUGUGUAUGUAGAUUCUUAAUUUUUGGUCCCGUUUUCAAAUUGGUCUACAUUAAGGUCCAAAGGGUCCAAAAUUAAACUUAGUUUGAUUUUAACAAAAAUUGAAACCUUGGAGUUCUUUGAUAUGCUGAAUCUAAUAAUGUACUUAGAUUUUUGAUUAUUGGCCCAGUUUUCAAGUUGGCCCAAAUCGAGGUCCAAAAUUAAACAUUGUUUGAUUUCAUCAAAAAUUGAAUAAUUGGGGUUCUUUGAUAUGCCAAAUCUAACUGUGUAUGUAGAUUCUUAAUUUUUGGUCCAGUUUCAAAAUUGGUCUAAAUUAAAGUGCAAAGGGUCCAAAAUUAAACUAAGUUUGAUUUUAACAAAAAUUAAAUUCUUGGGCCUCUUUGAUAUGCUGAAUCUAAACAUGUACUUAGAUUUUUAAAGGCAGUGCUUUAAGGCCUGACUUUUAAGUCAUGAGGUUCAUCUUUUCAUACGCAAUCCAUGCUGGGGGUCUUUUGGCCAGAAAUAGAUCCGGAAAUGUUCGAAUUUCUCCUUUUCUUUUUAUGGUAUGAUAUGGUUUUUGUUUCUUUCAUUUACAUUGGGGACUAAAGAAACGAUCAGUGUGUAUUGUUAGUUUUAUAGAACUUGUUAUAAGUGUGUAUUUUGCAUUAUAAGCAGUCAACCUGACUACAAACUAUCAAUAGUUGUAUAUUCCGUGUGGAAAGAGGUCGGGUCAAUUUCAAGUGUUAUCUGACAUCUAAAGAUUCUUUAAUUAGUUCAGACGUUGAUAUAACAAUGAAAAGUCGACUGAACAUGAUUAAUAUUGCAUCUUCUAUAAUUCAAAGCGGAAUUCGGUUUAUGAACGAGAAACCGUAAAGCGUUUUCAAUUUCGGUAUUAGUUAUGUAUGUUAUCUACGUAUUAUCCUGGUUCCCGGUACUACGUUCCGGUUAUUAGCUAUUUGAUAUAUUUGAUGUGUAACAUUACAAUCGGGUACCAGCCAAUCUACGUGUGUAUGUGUACAUGAUUUACCGCCAAAAUGACCGACUUAAAAAAUAGUCCAUAAACGUUCCGUAUAAUGAUAUGCAAAUUCAUAAUUAAUCGUAACUUUUUUUUAUCUUUGUAUAAUUAAUAUAACAAAAUGGAUUCCACAAAAUUGAAAAUAGCAUUAUUUUACGAGGAUUUCUCAUAUUUUUUUCACUUCCGGCGCAGUAAUACGUAUGUUUUGAAGAAGCUCGAAGAAUUUGACAAAGUGAAUUGAGAAGGAAACGGAUAGAUAUAGGUUCUUGCUAUCAGGGCACAAACCCACUUUAAAGAGACUUGUCUACUGCCAUACCCAUCCUAUUUUCAUGCACCAUUUGCAAGCAAGAGACUGAAUGGUUUGCAAAAUUAAAAAUCAGGACGGUGUCCAAUUAAAACAAAAGAACUAAACUGGAUGAAUAUUUUAGGAGAUAUCUAGACAUGCUAGAGGAAAGAUUUGAUUUGUGAAAUUGGUUUUCCUGAAAAGUCAUUCAUCCUAGCCUGCAGAAAGGAACUAUAACUGUCCACCACCAACUGACGAGCUAAUGUUGAGCUUCACAUAUGGAAUUACUCAAAUACCAUCAAUGUCUAUGUUUUCAGCACAAAUUUCACAAUUUAUGACACAGCUGUGCUUUUUUUUAUACCGUUAAAGAGUUGUAUACCAAAUUUUAUUUUUUUAUCAAUAAAUAUAUAUUAUAUUAA